AGGAUGAACGCUGGCGGUGUGCCUAAGGUAUGCAAGUCGAACGGUCCUUAUGAUUAUCAUUUGGACAGUGGCAGACUGGUGAGUAACGCGUGGAUAAUCUGCCCCGAAGAUGAGGAUAGCUCGCCGAAAGGUGAGGUAAUCCUCAAUGGUGUGGGAAGUACAUAUGUACAUCCCACUAAAGCUUUAGCGCUUCGGGAUGAGUCUGCGUCCUAUCAGCUUGUUGGUAGAGUAAAGGUCUACCAAGGCUAAGACGGGUAACUGGUCUGAGAGGAUGGUCAGUCACAGUGGCACUGAAACACGGGCCACACUCCUACGGGAGGCAGCAAUUAGGAAUCUUGCACAAUGGAGGAAACUCUGAUGCAGCGACACCGCGUGAAGGAUGAAGACCCUCGGGUUGUAAACUUCUUUUAUAAUCUAACAAGUUCUGAGUGGAGUAUGAAUAAGCACCUGCUAACUGCGUGCCAGAAGCAUCGGUGAAGCGGGGGGUGCGAGCGUUAUCCGGAUUUAUUGGGCGUAAAGAGAUGCGUAGGCGUUUUGGUAAGUCUUCUGUCAAAGCCUUCGGCCUAACCGAAGAAAGGCAGAGGAUACUAUCAGAAUUGAGACAGAGAGGGGGAAGUGGAAUUCCCGGUGGAGCGGUGAAAUGCGUUGAUAUCGGGAGGAACACCAGUGGCGAAGGCAACUUCCUGGCUCUGUUCUGACGCUGAGGCUCGAAAGCGUGGAGAGCAAAGCGGAUUAGAUACCCGUGUAGUCCAUGCUGUAAACGUUGGAUACUGGACGUUUGGUUC
rnacentral:rRNA from 1 species